GAUGAACGCUGGCGGCGCGCCUAACACAUGCAAGUCGAACGAUUAAAGCACCUUCGGGUGUGUAUAAAGUGGCGAACGGCUGAGUAACACGUGGGCAACCUGCCCCUCUCAUUGGGAUAGCCACGGGAAACCGUGGAUAAUACCGAAUACUUCGGGACUUCCGCAUGGAAGACUCGAGAAAGCUCCGGCGGAGAGGGAUGGGCCCGCGGCCUGUUAGCUUGUUGGUGGGGUAAUGGCCUACCAAGGCAAUGAUGGGUAGCUGGGUUGAGAGACCGACCAGCCAGAUUGGGACUGAGACACGGCACAGACUCCUACGGGAGGCAGCAGUGGGGAAUCUUGCACAAUGGGCGAAAGCCUGAUGCAGCGACGCCGCGUGCGGGAUGAAGGCCUUCGGGUUGUAAACCGCUUUCAGCAGGGACGAGGCGAAAGUGACGGUACCUGCAGAAGAAGCCCCGGCUAACUACGUG
rnacentral:rRNA from 1 species